GCGUCGUCCGCCUCGCGCCGCAGCGACGGCCGCCGCAGGGCGGUGAAGGAGCGCGGCCGCAGACAGUCCGGGAGCACCAGCUCGCUAUCUGCGCGGGAGACACGGGGCAGUGUCACGCAGGGCUCUCGGGAGGCGGCCCCGGCGCGCCCCGCUGUCCGGUCCCUACGCGCGCACCGUUACAAUCCCGGAUGGCUAAUGGCGCACACGAUGCUUGUGACAUAAAUUAGCGAACACAGUCAAGAAACGACUCUUGCAGGACAUCUGUUUAAGCAGAGGAAUAGGUGGGGGGAAGCACCGAAACUGAAACCAUGUGGAUGCUUCCAAAUGCUCACAGACUCUCCUUGUUUAUUGAA
rnacentral:lncRNA from 1 species